rnacentral:rRNA from 1 species
AUUGAACGCUGGCGGCAUGCUUUACACAUGCAAGUCGAACGGUAACAGGCCUUCUGGUGCUGACGAGUGGCGAACGGGUGAGUAAUGCAUCGGAACGUACCCAGAGGUGGGGGAUAACGCAGCGAAAGCUGUGCUAAUACCGCAUGUGAUCUGAGGAUGAAAGCGGGGGACCGAGCAGCAAUGUUUGGCCUCGCGCCUUUGGAGCGGCCGAUGUCGGAUUAGCUAGUUGGUGGGGUAAAGGCCUACCAAGGCGACGAUCCGUAGCUGGUCUGAGAGGACGACCAGCCACACUGGGACUGAGACACGGCCCAGACUCCUACGGGAGGCAGCAGUGGGGAAUUUUGGACAAUGGGCGCAAGCCUGAUCCAGCAAUGCCGCGUGCGGGAAGAAGGCCUUCGGGUUGUAAAACGCUUUUGGCAGGAACGAAACGGUGUCCGCUAAUACCGGGCGCUAAUGACGGUACCUGCAGAAUAAGCACCGGCUAACUACGUG